AUGUCGGGAACCAGUGCUGGCGGCGGCUCCAAUGGAGCGCCGGAUCUUGGUGACUUUCUGGAACAACUCAACUUGGAAGAUGAAACCUUUGACGAUCUGGUGAUCGAUGAGGCGGAUCCAGAGAUCAAUGAUAGUGUAAUAUGGCUCGCCCUUGCAAGGGUUCAUACUGAUAAAUCCUUUAGUCAAGCGGCCUUCUACAAGGAUAUGCGUGCGGCAUGGAAUCCGGCGCAUCGAGUUAGUUUUCGGCCUGUUGGCCCGAACCUUUUUGUGGUGCGCGCGUCCUGCUUGGGGGAUUGGGAGCGUAUGAUGGAUCAAGGGCCUUGGCUCUUUCGGAAUUGGCUUGUGUUGAUGCGCCCUUAUGAUGGAUUCACCAAAGCGGAAGAUGUGCCGAUGGUUUUCAUGCCAGUUUGGCUCCAAAUCCACAAGAUACCUGAGGGUUUCUGUAAGAAGAACAUAGUAGAACAUCUGCUCAGGAAUUCAGGAGAUAUUCUGGAGAUGAGAUUGAAUGGGAACACUCGUGGUGAUUAUAUCCGGGUUAGGGUUCGUCAUGAUGUUCGUCGGCCCCUAACAAAAUUUGUUAGUAUUGUGAGGGGAAAGGAGCGCCAAGUGUAUUUGGUGCGCUAUGAGAAACUUGCAUGCUUCUGUAGCGUGUGUGGGCUGAUUGAGCAUGACUGCAAGGAGUGUGGCAAUGGUGUUCACGAUGAGAAAGAUAAGAAGUUUGGCACCUGGUUAUAUGCGAAUGGCCUCAAUAAACCUCAACAGAGGGAUGGCCCCGGGCGAGGUAGGAACCCGAAGCAGCCUUCUGGGCAGGAGCAGCAGAAGAACCCGGGAGAAAAAGCGGUGACUGAUCCUGAGGUUUUGGAUACUGCAUCAAGCCCAGCAAAAAAUUGCCGUGCAGACAUACAGGUGGAUCCGACCGUGAGAAAGAGACUUGCAAUGGAUGCUGAAGGCCUUGGAGGGAACUUGGGGGGCACUGAUCCGAAGCAUGUUUUGGCCUUAACCCAAGGAAAAGGAGAGGCUGGUACGGGUCAUGAUUCACCGGCUAGUAGCAGCAGCACGAAGAUAGCAAGGAUGGAGUAUGACGGUGUGUCUGAAGAGAAAUCGGCGGCCUCCCUCGAGGAGGAACGCCGGAUGCAAUGA
rnacentral:rRNA from 1 species